ACGGGGCGCAGCAGGCGCGAAACCUUUGCAAUGUGCGAAAGCACGACAAGGUUAAUCCGAGUGUCUCCCGCUAAGGGAGUCUUUUGUCAGUUCUAGAACCACUGAUGAAUAAGGGGUGGGCAAGUUCUGGUGUCAGCCGCCGCGGUAAAACCAGCACCUCGAGUGGUCAGGAGGUUUAUUGGGCCUAAAGCAUCCGUAGCUCGUUUUGUAAGUUUUCGGUUAAAUCCAUGCGCUUAACGUAUGGGCUGCCGGGAAUACUGCAUAACUAGGAAGUGGGAGAGGUAGACGGUACUCGGUAGGAAGGGGUAAAAUCCUUUGAUCUAUUGAUGACCACCUGUGGCGAAGGCGGUCUACCAGAACACGUUCGACGGUGAGGGAUGAAAGCUGGGGGAGCAAACCGGAUUAGAUACCCGGGUAGUCCCAGCUGUAAACGAUGCAGACUCGGUGAUGCAUUGGCUUGUGGCCAAUGCAGUGCCGCAGGGAAGCCGUUAAGUCUGCCGCCUGGGAAGUACGUACGCAAGUAUGAAACUUAAAGGAAUUGGCGGGGGAGCAC
rnacentral:rRNA from 2 species